rnacentral:rRNA from 1 species
GGAGGAAAAGAAACCAACAGGGAUUGCCCUAGUAACGGCGAGUGAAGCGGCAACAGCUCAAAUUUGAAAUCUGGCUCUUUUAGAGUCCGAGUUGUAAUUUGCAGAGGGCGCUUUGGCUUUGGCAGCGGUCCAAGUUCCUUGGAACAGGACGUCACAGAGGGUGAGAAUCCCGUACGUGGUCGCUAGCUAUUGCCGUGUAAAGCCCCUUCGACGAGUCGAGUUGUUUGGGAAUGCAGCUCUAAAUGGGAGGUAAAUUUCUUCUAAAGCUAAAUAUUGGCCAGAGACCGAUAGCGCACAAGUAGAGUGAUCGAAAGAUGAAAAGCACUUUGGAAAGAGAGUCAAACAGCACGUGAAAUUGUUGAAAGGGAAGCGCUUGCAGCCAGACUUGCUUGCAGUUGCUCAUCCGGGCUUUUGCCCGGUGCACUCUUCUGCAGGCAGGCCAGCAUCAGUUUGGGCGGUGGGAUAAAGGUCUCUGACACGUUCCUUCCUUCGGGUUGGCCAUAUAGGGGAGACGUCAUACCACCAGCCUGGACUGAGGUCCGCGCAUCUGCUAGGAUGCUGGCGUAAUGGCUGUAAGCGGCCCGUCUUGAAACACGGACCAAGGAGUCUAACAUCUAUGCGAGUGUUUGGGUGUCAAGCCCGAGCGCGUAAUGAAAGUGAACGGAGGUGGGAACCCGCAAGGGUGCACCAUCGACCGAUCCUGAAGUUUACGGAAGGAUUUGAGUAAGAGCAUGGCUGUUGGGACCCGAAAGAUGGUGAACUAUGCUUGAAUAGGGUGAAGCCAGAGGAAACUCUGGUGGAGGCUCGCAGCGGUUCUGACGUGCAAAUCGAUCGUCAAAUUUGGGCAUAGGGGCGAAAGACUAAUCGAACUAUCUAGUAGCUGG